GAAAUAGUGCAAAGGAAAGAACUUUGGAAACAGUCCUUCUCUGUGGUCCGGGUUCACAACCGGGACCGACCAACCCGGGUCUCCACUCCCCAAGCUACAGAGCUGCAGAGGCCAGUGAUCAAUUCCAGGUAGGAUGAAGGGGUCUUCCCAACCUACAUCCCACCCACCAUACCCAUGCCCCCACCCACCUCCCAACCCCUGCUCAGAUGAGACUUCCUUGUUCAAUAGAGGAUUUCCCACACAUUGCAGUGGAGCAAAGCUUCACUAUGUAUCUGCAGGACUAGCUGGCUUCAGAAAUAGCUGGACCCACGGCUCUUCUUGCUAGGUAUCUGUUCCUUGCUAUUCCUGUGGACCUUGUGUCCCCCUGAACAGACUACUCCACAGUCUGACUGUAGCCUUCCCAAUAAACAAACGAGCCUAAGCAAGCUCUGAAGGGUUGGGCCCCUUGCCAGCCCAGAAAUUGUCCCUGUAGACCCAGGAAUAUGGCACAGUAGUGACAAAACCAUUUACUCACUCUGUCUGGAUGGCCAGGAUCUGCAGUGGGGAAGAAGUUCCCUACAGGAGCCAAAGAAGAGUAGGAAGGCUAGCCUAUCAGAUAAAACUGGUAUGGCCACCACCAUCUGGGACCAAUGGUGGCUUCAAGUUAUGCCUCUUAACACAGCUGAGCCCAAGCCCUAGAGAGUAGACAUACGCAUCACAGAUGUGGAAGACCUAGUCCCACACUGUACCCCAAGGACCACAUCCUGAGAGGUCAUAGGAACACCCAACUGAUGUGAUUUGCUGCUUCCUUCCAGUUCCACUGAGUUCCAGAUUGCACAAGCCACCUUGUCCAAAGCCUUCCAGGGGAAGUUUAACAGGUUUGUGAUCCCCUGUGUCGUUGCCAGUGGUGACAUCAAAGACAGGAAGACAGCGGAACCUCUGAGCUUCAGGUGUGGGGUUCUUGAGCCAGGGUAGGGUGUGGUUGGCCAUAAACCCACUGUCCCUCCUCUACUGCUGGUCAGAUCUGAGGCCCGAGGGCCACUGGGUCACCCUAAUCUGCCCUUUUCUGUCCUUGUCCUGGCUCUAGCCCCCAUAAUACUCUAUAUCUGGAGCUGUGGUGCCCAGCAGUGGCUCCAUUUAUUGUGGUGACAUCCCACAAAGGCAAGACUGACUUUAACUUCGGGGAUAUUGCUGUGGGUAAGUCCUGAUGUAUACUGACAGCCCUCACUCCCUAGAGCACAGCUUUCACCCUGGGUACAGAGCUGCUCCAGCCACCGUCUGCAUCCUGACCUUGCUGUUGAGAGAGGUGCCGCUCGGGGCGGGGCCGAGGAGCCUGUUAGCUGACUCUGCCGUAUUUCAGGGCAUCGAAGCGUAAAGAAGAUCACUCUCCAGAACAUUUGCAAUGAGGACCUUACUUGUUGAACCCCAACGGCCCCUUCGUCAGGCUAAACCCUUUCAACAAGCUGCGCUCUGGUGAGACACAAACCCUAGUGCUGUCCUUCUCGCCUCAUGAGAACAUACUGGUGAGUGCAGCCCCCAUGCAUGAAUGGGCAAGGCUGCUGCCCUGGGAUCUCCAGCCACAUUUCAGGACCAUGGUGUGACCAAGGGGAGGGAGGGUGAGAUACCACUGAGCUCUUGGGCCCAGAUGAUCUACUGGGGCCUGAAAGCAGCCUGUGCGCCAGACUCCAGCUCUUGCCAACAAGUCUGGAGGCAGAGAUCUCCAGGCUAUCUCUGUUGCACAAUGCUUCCAGCCAGCCGCUCAUGAGUAGAGCUCCCACAUUUGCUCUUUGCUAAAGGACAUGAUCUCCUUAGGCUCAAGAAACUCUGGACAUCAUCACCAAGAGAGGCACUCUCAGUCUCACCCUCUUUGGCAUGGGUGUGGCGUCCAUGAUUACGUGCUCCAUUGACGGCAACAUCCUCAACAUGGGCUACGUGCUUGCCAGAGAAUCUGUCUCAACAAAUUUUAAGCUUCAGAAUGAGUCCUCGCUUCCCAUCAAGUUCUGGGUGCGUCUGGAGAGCCUCUCC
rnacentral:lncRNA from 1 species